AUUGAACGCUGGCGGCAUGCCUUACACAUGCAAGUCGAACGGCAGCGGACCUUCGGGUGCCGGCGAGUGGCGAACGGGUGAGUAAUAUAUCGGAACGUACCUUUCAGUGGGGGAGUAACGUAGCGAAAGUUAACGCUAAUACCGCAUAUUCUGUGAGCAGGAAAGACAGGGGAGUCGCAAGACCUUGCGCUGAUUGAGCGGCCGAUAUCAGAUUAGCUAGUUGGUGAGGUAAAGGACUCACCAAGGCGACGAUCUGUAGCGGGUCGUGAGAGGAUGAUCCGCCACACUGGAACUGAGACACGGUCCAGACUCCUACGGGAGGCAGCAGUGGGGAAGUUUUGGU
rnacentral:rRNA from 1 species